UUCUACCCUUUUUCAUUUCAAAGAGGAUACAAUCCACUGGCAGCGUCCUGGGAAAGUUCAAGCAGCUGAGACACUUUAUUACCAACCCCGGGCUCCUUCUGCGGAAGUGGAGAUGACAUCUUACGUGCUCCUUGCCUAUCUUACUGUCCAGCCUGCCCCAUCUUCAGGGGACCUCUCCAAGGCAUCACGCAUUGUGAAGUGGAUUACCAAGCAGCAAAACCCCCAUGGUGGUUUCUCCUCCACUCAGGAUACAGUGGUCGCUCUCCAAGCCCUCUCCAAAUAUGGAGCAGCAACUUUCA